CAAGGAAUUUUCGGCAAUGGGCGCAAGCCUGACCGAGCAACGCCGCGUGGUGGAUGACGGCCUUCGGGUUGUAAACACCUUUUCGAGGGGAAGACAUCGACGGUACCCUCGGAAUAAGCCCCGGCUAACUCUGUGCCAGCAGCCGCGGUAAGACAGAGGGGGCAAGCGUUGUCCGGAGUUACUGGGCGUAAAGCGCACGCAGGCGGCCUGGCGCGUGUGGGGUGAAAGCCCUGGGCUUAACCCAGGGUGGCCCCCGCAUACGGCCAGGCUCGAGCCCGGGAGAGGUCCCUCGAAUUGCCGGUGUAGUGGUGAAAUGCGUAGAGAUCGGCAGGAAGACCAAGGGGGAAGCCAGGGGACUGGCCCGGUGCUGACGCUCAGGUGCGACAGCGUGGGGAGCGAACCGG
rnacentral:rRNA from 1 species